UGGGGAAUAUUGGGCAAUGGGGGAAACCCUGACCCAGCAACGCCGCGUGAGGGAAGAAGGUUUUCGGAUUGUAAACCUCUGUCCUUGGUGAAGAGAAGAAGACGGUAGCCAAGGAGGAAGCCCCGGCUAACUACGUGCCAGCAGCCGCGGUAAUACGUAGGGGGCAAGCGUUGUCCGGAAUGAUUGGGCGUAAAGGGCGCGUAGGCGGCUGUACAAGUCUGGAGGGGAAGUCCUAUUUUCAAGGUAGGAAUUGCUUUGGAAACUGUACAGCUUGAGUGUAGGAGAGGUUAUCGGAAUUCCCGGUGGAGCGGUGAAAUGCGUAGAUAUCGGGAGGAACACCAGUGGCGAAGGCGGGUAACUGGACUACAACUGACGCUGAGGCGCGAAAGUGUGGGGAGCAAACA
rnacentral:rRNA from 1 species